CACCAUGUAUAUAUGCAUUAAUAGCAUAUUGAACUAAGUUAUACUGCACUAAAUAUGAAAAUCUGAUUGGAUAUUAAAUUAUGUAAUAUGUUUCAAUUGGUAUUAUUAUAAGCUUAUGAAGAUGUUGUUAUUCAUGCUUAAAUGUCAGAUUGAAAAUGUAGUGAAUUUCGCAUGUUUUAGUAUUUAGUUGUUAUUGUGCCCG
rnacentral:lncRNA from 1 species